AACGCACAUUGCGCUCUUUGGUAUUCCGAAGAGCAUGCCUGUUUGAGAACCUUGACGUCCCUCACAACCCCCUCAAUUUUUUUUAAAAAAAGUUGGUUGGGUUUGUGGUUUUGGAUUUUUCCUUGGAGUCUAAUUUCCGGGGUGAUCUGAAAAUUAUUGUUUGGUGGCAAGGCCUUCCAAUCCUCCACAAUAACAAACAGCUCAUAAGCAAAACGUGAUAAUUUGGGAAACCAAUUUUUUAACGUUGAUAACCUUGAUGCUGGUGGAACCAAGGAUCGGAGACCAUUUUUUGCAAAUAUCAACUCAACCUUAAUGCCAGGCAUCUUCCUCCGAAGAUGGACACCUGAACACCUGGUCUCAAAUCAGACAAGACUACCCGCUGAACUUAA
rnacentral:misc_RNA from 1 species